AUUGAACGCUGGCGGCAGGCCUAACACAUGCAAGUCGAACGAGUGGCGGACGGGUGAGUAAUGUCUGGGAAACUGCCUGAUGGAGGGGGAUAACUACUGGAAACGGUAGCUAAUACCGCAUACCAUCAGAUGUGCCCAGAUGGGAUUAGCUAGUUUGUGGGGUAACGGCUCACCAAGGCGACGAUCCCUAGCUGGUCUGAGAGGAGGACCAGCCAAACUGGAACUGAGACACGGUCCAGACUCCUACGGGAGGCAGCAGGGGGGAAUAGUGGACAAUGGGCGCAAGCCUGAUACAGCGAUGCCGCGUGUAUGAAGAGGGCCUGAGGGUUGUAAAGUACUUUCAGCGGGGAGGCGUUACCCGCAGAAGAAGCACCGGCUAACUCCGUGCCAGCCGCCGCGGUAAUAC
rnacentral:rRNA from 1 species